rnacentral:tRNA from 1 species
AUUUAAGUAGUUUAAUUAAAAUAAUAAUUUGUGGUGUUAUAGAUAUAUAAAGUAUAUUUUAAAUC